UACAGAGGGUGCGAGCGUUAAUCGGAAUUAUUGGGCGUAAAGCGCAUGUAGGUGGUUUGAUAAGUUUGAUGUGAAAGCCCUGGGCUUAACCUGGGAAUUGCGUUGGAAACUGUUGAACUAGAGUCGGUCAGAGGGCGGUGGAAUUUCCGGUGUAGCGGUGAAAUGCGUAGAGAUCGGAAGGAACAUCAGUGGCGAAGGCGUCCGCCUGGGACCAGACUGACACUGAGAUGCGAGAGCGUGGGGAGCAAACAGG
rnacentral:rRNA from 1 species